GAUGAACGCUGGCGGCGUGCCUAAUACAUGCAAGUCGAGCGAACGGACGAGAAGCUUGCUUCUCUGAUGUUAGCGGCGGACGGGUGAGUAACACGUGGAUAACCUACCUAUAAGACUGGGAUAACUUCGGGAAACCGGAGCUAAUACCGGAUGAUAUUUUGAACCGCAUGGUUCAAAAGUGAAAGACGGUCUUGCUGUCACUUAUAGAUGGAUCCGCGCUGCAUUAGCUAGUUGGUAUGGUAACGGCUUACCAAGGCAACGAUGCAUAGCCGACCUGAGAGGGUGAUCGGCCACACUGGAACUGAGACACGGUCCAGACUCCUACGGGAGGCAGCAGUAGGGAAUCUUCCGCAAUGGGCGAAAGCCUGACGGAGCAACGCCGCGUGAGUGAUGAAGGUCUUCGGAUCGUAAAACUCUGUUAUUAGGGAAGAACAUAUGUGUAAGUAACUGUGCACAUCUUGACGGUACCUAAUCAGAAAGCCACGGCUAACUACGUG
rnacentral:rRNA from 1 species